rnacentral:lncRNA from 1 species
UUCCUUCGCUGCACUUUUACCUUUUCCUCAUAUGCAUGUGUGUGCUCUGUAUUUAUGUAUAAAGUUCAUGGAUUCGUGAUCGCGUCGAAGUGUUUCUUUUAACCAGUUAAGUGGGCCAUUAGAAGAACCGAGGAGUGAGAAGGACCAUUCUAAAAUCAUUAUGCUACGUGUUUCCCUCUGUCGCUCUUGACACGAAGCACGAGAGGCAUUUUACUCGCUUUGCCCACCUUGCUUCCCUCCUGCAACGUCCAAAUUCGAGGGUUUGGAUUGACCAGAUGGCCGACCUUCCCUUUUUCCUGCGAAGGACUUCAUUAAAAGACACAACGCAGCUUGCCGAGAAGUUUGUUUGAAUAAGUUGCGACGAGGAAAGGACGAAAUUUCAUCAUGCAAACUUUGCGAGGUGCUAAACACCUGGAAGAAUUAAUUGGGUGUCGGAAAGUUGGAAUCGAGUUUUCAAUAAUUUGUCUGAAGAUCCAAAGAAAGCAGGAAGGAAAAGUCGAGAACGAAAACUAUCAUAAUCACGAUGAUCGAGGACACCGAACGCAACCACCACAGUUUCGAGGCUCCAGGUGGGAGGCAGCUGCAAGGCGUACGAACGAAAAAGUGAUGUUCGCGGAGUGAGAAAGAGGGUACACCUUUUGGUAUAGGAGCGUGUGCUCCGAUGUACUGCUGUUGCAUGCUGUGGCCCGGGACCCGUUUUCAGAAUUGCGAGAGGAAGAAAAGCCGUCGCCGAACGAAGAAAGAGAACGAAUAAGAGAGAAAGAG